rnacentral:rRNA from 1 species
AGCAGCCGCGGUAAUUCCAGCUCCAAUAGCGUAUAUUAAAGUUGCUGCAGUUAAAAAGCUCGUAGUUGAAUUUCGGGACCAUCAUGUCGGUCGUGCCUCGGUACGUACUGGCAUUGUUGGUUUCUACCUUCUGAAGAACCUCGAUGUCAUUAAUUUGGUGUCUUGGGGAAUCAGGACCGUUACUUUGAAAAAAUUGAGUGUUUAAAGCAGGCUCGCGCUUGAAUACAUUAGCAUGGAAUAAUGAAAUAGGACGUUUGAUUCUAUUUUGUUGGUUUCUAGGAUCGACGUAAUGAUUAAUAGGGAUAGUUGGGGCAGUUAGUAUUCAAUUGUCAGAGGUGAAAUUCUUGGAUUUAUUG